rnacentral:rRNA from 1 species
UGGGGAAUAUUGGACAAUGGGCGCAAGCCUGAUCCAGCCAUGCCGCGUGAGUGAUGAAGGCCCUAGGGUUGUAAAGCUCUUUCACCGGUGAAGAUAAUGACGGUAACCGGAGAAGAAGCCCCGGCUAACUUCUUGCCAGCAGCCGCGGUAAUACGAAGGGGGCUAGCGUUGUUCGGAUUUACUGGGCGUAAAGCGCACGUAGGCGGACUAUUAAGUCAGGGGUGAAAUCCCGGGGCUCAACCCCGGAACUGCCUUUGAUACUGGUAGUCUUGAGUUCGAGAGAGGUGAGUGGAAUUCCGGGUGUAGAGGUGAAAUUCGUAGAUAUUCGGAGGAACACCAGUGGCGAAGGCGGCUCACUGGCUCGAUACUGACGCUGAGGUGCGAAAGCGUGGGGAGCAAACAGG